CCUACGGGAGGCAGCAGUGGGGAAUUUUGCACAAUGGGGGAAACCCUGACGCAGCAACGCCGCGUGGAGGAUGAAGCCCCUUGGGGCGUAAACUCCUUUCGACCGAGACGAUAAUGACGGUACUGGUGGAAGAAGCCCCGGCUAACUCUGUGCCAGCAGCCGCGGUAAU
rnacentral:rRNA from 1 species